rnacentral:rRNA from 1 species
AAAAACUUAGCGGCGAACGGGUGAGUAACACGUAAAGAACCUGCCUCAUAGACUGGGAUAACUAUUGGAAACGAUAGCUAAUACCGGAUAAUAGCAUUAACUGCAUGGUUGAUGUUUGAAAGUUGGUUAUGCUAACACUAUGAGAUGGCUUUGCGGUGCAUUAGCUAGUUGGUGGGGUAAAAGCCUACCAAGGCGACGAUGCAUAGCCGACCUGAGAGGGUGAUCGGCCACACUGGGGCUGAGACACGGCCCAGACUCCUACGGGAGGCAGCAGUAGGGAAUCUUCCGCAAUGGGCGAAAGCCUGACGGAGCAACGCCGCGUGAGUGAAGAAGGAUUUCGGUUCGUAAAGCUCUGUUGUUAGGGAAGAAUGAUUGUGUAGUAACUAUACACAGUAGAGACGGUACCUAACCAGAAAGCCACGGCUAACUACGUGCCAGCAGCCGCGGUAAUACGUAGGUGGCAAGCGUUGUCCGGAAUUAUUGGGCGUAAAGCGCGCGCAGGUGGUUUAAUAAGUCUGAUGUGAAAGCCCACGGCUCAACCGUGGAGGGUCAUUGGAAACUGUUAAACUUGAGUGCAGGAGAGACAAAGUGGAAUUCCUAGUGUAGCGGUGAAAUGCGUAGAGAUUAGGAGGAACACCAGUGGCGAAGGCGGCUUUUUGGCCUGUAACUGACACUGAGGCGCGAAAGCGUGGGGAGCAAACAGGAUUAGAUAGCCUGGUAGUCCACGCCGUAAACGAUGAGUGCUAAGUGUUGGUCUCAUAAGAGAUCAGUGCUGCAGCUA